UAUUUUAAAGAGAGUUUGAUCCUGGCUCAGGACGAACGCUGGCGGCGUGCCUAAUACAUGCAAGUCGAACGAACGGAGGAAGAGCUUGCUCUUCCAAAGUUAGUGGCGGACGGGUGAGUAACACGUGGGCAACCUGCCUGUAAGUUGGGGAUAACUCCGGGAAACCGGGGCUAAUACCGAAUGAUAAAGUGUGGCGCAUGCCACGCUUUUGAAAGAUGGUUUCGGCUAUCGCUUACAGAUGGGCCCGCGGUGCAUUAGCUAGUUGGUAGGGUAAUGGCCUACCAAGGCAACGAUGCAUAG
rnacentral:rRNA from 1 species